rnacentral:rRNA from 1 species
UUCCGGUUGAUCCUGCCGGACCUGACUGCUAUCGGAUUGAUACUAAGCCAUGCGAGUCUUUGCAGUAAUGCAAGGCAUACGGCUCAGUAACACGUAGUCAACUUACCCUAUGGACGAGGAUAAUCUCGGGAAACUGAGCAUAAUACUCGAUAGAUCAUAAUGCCUGGAAUGGUUUAUGGUUGAAAUGAUUCGUCGCCAUAGGAUGGGACUGCGGCCUAUCAGCUUGUUGGUGAGGUAAUGGCCCACCAAGGCGAUUACAGGUACGGGCUCUGAGAGGAGAAGCCCGGAGAUGGGUACUGAGACAAGGACCCAGGCCCUAUGGGGCGCAGCAGGCGAGAAAACUUUGCAAUGUGCGAAAGCACGACAAGGUUAAUCCGAGUGAUUUCUGCUAAAGAAAUCUUUUGCAAGUCAUAAAACCACUAGUGAAUAAGGGGUGGGCAAGUUCUGGUGUCAGCCGCCGCGGUAAAACCAGCACCUCAAGUGGUCAGGAGGAUUAUUGGGCCUAAAGCAUCCGUAGCCGGCUCUGUAAGUUUUCGGUUAAAUCCAUGUGCUCAACGCAUGGGCUGCCGAAAAUACUGCAUAGCUAGGGAGUGGGAGAGGUAGACGGUACUCGGUAGGAAGGGGUAAAAUCCUUUGAUCUAUCGAUGACCACCUGUGGCGAAGGCGGUCUACCAGAACACGUUCGACGGUGAGGGAUGAAAGCUGGGGGAGCAAACCGGAUUAGAUACCCGGGUAGUCCCAGCUGUAAACGAUGCAGACUCGAUGAUGCAUUGGCAUAUAGCCAGUGCAGUGUCGCAGGGAAGCCGUUAAGUCUGCCGCCUGGGAAGUACGUACGCAAGUAUGAAACUUAAAGGAAUUGGCGGGGGAGCACCACAAGGGGUGAAGCCUGCGGUUCAAUUGGAAUCAACGCCGG